CAGUUGCAGCCGUCUUCAGAGACAGUUGGCAGUUGGGCAGCAGCCAUCUUACAGGGACUCAGAGCAGCAACUUGGCGCAGAGGCAGCUGCUAGUGUGUGAGUGGUGUACAGCUUAUGUAAAGCCAGUUUUGAUUCCCGUAACCAGAGCUCAUCAUUGUAGCAGCCAAUCAGUAAUACCAGCCUCCUGUGGGGAUCUCACUGCUUCUGAUAGUGCUGGCUGACAGGCAUUUGACAGAACAGAACAGUGGUGGGCUCUACUAACUGUGUAGCUGGAAACUAGGCCACGCAGCCUACCCUCCCUUUUGAAGGACAGUCAUGGAGGUAGCCCUGCUUUGGAGUAACAGAUGGCAGGAGGAGCAGAGACAGUGUCUUGCUGCAGCUGCAGACAGAGGUCAGCUUAUGAUGGUUAAUUGAGGCCAACCUAACCCUUUUAACACAGGAGACACAUCCAUGCAGGCAAUGGCUCCUGACUCCUUAUGUCACACCCACAUCAGGUCCGCAAUCUAAUUACAAUGCCACGUUUAUAUCCACCAAGCAGGUUAUAGAGUGACGUUUUGGCUUUUUAAAGGGAUUAUUCUGAUGUCUACACUGGACUGGUGGUGACCACAUGUAUGCGCCAGAAAUGGUUUCUAAGAUUAUUCUCCUGUGUGGUGGGUUCCAUAACAUGGCCAUAAGAAGUCAGGUGCCUUACCAACAAGAAGACCUGUUGCCCUAAGAUGAGGAGGUAGGGGCAGUGGAUGCAGAAGGCAGAGGACAAUCCUUCUGAGACAAGGAAGUUGGCAAAAAUUUCAGGAGGCGGGUGCUGCAGCUGAUUCUCAACAUUCAGCACCUGACUCAUGACACUGCUGAGGAGGCAGCAUUUUAGCGUCAAUCCUUCACAGGCUGAAAUCCGGGUGCACCCCACACCUCCCAAAAACCCCUUCUGAUGCCACUGCAACACAAUGAUAAAUAAUGUUUUCUAAAUACUUAAUUUCCAAAAAUGUGUUUUUGUAAAUCAAAAAAUAUACAGUAGCCAGCUGUGAUGUUGGUAAAGAAAGUACAGGCACUGACAAUCAGUGUCAAUGUGUUUUUUUUUUUUAGAAACCAUUGAAAUCAUUUAUAAUAUUACAUUUCAAACCUUGCUUGUCAACAUGAGCUAGUGGCUUAUCCCCUUUUGAAUCUGAAAUUCUGCAAACAAACAUUAUGUAAUAAUCAUUGCAUUUCAUUGUAUGUGUUGCCAUGUCAGAAAUGUGUUAUUUAAAAAAUUUCUAUUUUUUUUUUUACUUGACAUUUUCUUAAUAUAAAAGCACUUCUACCUAACAUUGGAGAAAUGUUUGCAAUUUCAAAUGAAAUUAAAUCUGAAUAUACAGUAUAGCAAUGUCAA